rnacentral:misc_RNA from 1 species
GAAAUGCGAUAAGUAAUGUGAAUUGCAGAAUUCCGUGAAUCAUCGAAUCUUUGAACGCACAUUGCGCCCUCUGGUAUUCCGGGGGGCAUGCCUGUCCGAGCGUCAUUGCGAACCCCUCAAGCACGGCUUGUGUGAUGGGCCCUCCCGCGUCUUGGUUGUCAAGACGGGCCCGAAAUGCAGUGGCGGCUUCGCGGUUAUCCGAUCAGCCAGAGCGUAUGGGGACUUUCUCUCUGUCACACGCCCGCGGCGCGGACCGACGCCUGUCGACCUUUAUUCAUCUUUUUCUCGGUUGACCUCGGAUCAGGUAGGGAUACCCGCUGAACUUAAGC